rnacentral:antisense_RNA from 1 species
GGGGCGGCGAGGCGAGGCCUGCGGAGCGGAGGAAGACAAACAUAAAGAUGAAGUGCUUAAUUCAAGGUCACACAAUGUCGGGGAUGGACCUCCAGAUUUCCUUACUGACCUGCAUUAUCUUGUGGAUACCUGAGUGAAUUCCACACCACCCAUUUUAUAGAUGAAACCACUGAGACAUGGAGCAACUGACUGAGUAGUCACUGCCCCACCCCUGCCUGGAGCCUCACACAUGACUCGUCUCCUCUCAGUGACCACAGGUUGGUUGAGGGGUUUAACAAGGCUAAGAAGAGACGGAGUCUUGCUAUGUUGCCCAGGCUGGUCUUGAACUCCUCACCUCAAGCGAUCCUCUCGUCUUGGCCUCCCAAGUGUCAGGAUUACAGGCAUGUGCUAUCACACCCAACCUGAUACAUUGCCUUUAUAAAUUUUUUUUUCUUUAUUCUAAAAACCAGAAAAAACAAAACUGGAUACAUGUGCAGAACAUGCAGGUGAGACGUGGUCUUGUAACACAGUGGUUAAGAAUGUGACUUUGGAGCCAGCCUGCUAGGGGCUGAAUUCUGACUCAGCCAUUUACUAACUGUGUGACCUUAGGUAAGUCAUUUACCUUCUCUGUCCCUCAGUUUCAUCUCGGUAAAGUAGGGAUAAUGAUAGCACCUAUUUUAUAGGGUUAUUGUGAGGAAUAAAUCCAAGUAAAAUGCUUAGAAUAGUAACUGAAACAUAGCACUCAUUAGGAAUGCUUUAAUUUUCAUUUAUUUGAAUAUUAAAGGUUGAAUUUUC